rnacentral:rRNA from 1 species
GGCUGGCGGCGUGCUAUACAUGCAGUCGAGCGGACUUUAAAAGCUUGCUUUUAAAGUUAGCGGCGGACGGGUGAGUAACACGUGGGCAACCUGCCUGUAAGACUGGGAUAACUUCGGGAAACCGGAGCUAAUACCGGAUAAUCCUUUUCCUCUCAUGAGGAAAAGCUGAAAGACGGCAUCUCGCUGUCACUUACAGAUGGGCCCGCGGCGCAUUAGUUAGUUGGGGAGGUAACGGCUCACCAAGGCAACGAUGCGUACCCGACCUGAAAGGGGGAUCGGCCACACUGGGACUGAAACCCGGCCCAAACUCCUACGGGAGGCAGCAGAAGGGAAUCUUCCGCAAUGGACGAAAGUCUGACGGAGCAACGCCGCGGGAGUGAUGAAGGUUUUCGGAUCGUAAAGCUCUGUUGUUAGGGAAAAACAAGUACAAAAGUAACUGCUUGUACCUUGACGGAACCUAACCAAAAAGCCACGGUUAACUACGUGCCACCAGCCGCGGUAAUACGUAGGUGGCAAGCGUUGUCCGGAAUUAUUGGGCGUAAAGCGCGCGCAGGCGGUCCUUUAAGUCUGAUGUGAAAGCCCACGGCUCAACCGUGGAGGGUCAUUGGAAACUGGGGGACUUGAGUGCAAAAAAGAAGAGUGGAAUUCCACGUGUACCGGUGAAAUGCGUAGAGAUGUGGAGAAACACCAGUGGCGAAGGCGACUCUUUGGUCUGUAACUGACGCUGAGGCGCGAAAGCGUGGGGAGCAAACAGGAUUAGAUACCCUGGUAGUCCACGCCGUAAACGAUGAGUGCUAAGUGUUAGAGGGUUUCCUGCCCUUUAGUGCUGCAGCAAACGCAUUAAGCACUCCGCCUGGGGAGUACGGCCGCAAGCUGAAACUCAAUGAAUUGACGGGGGCCCCGCACAGCGUGGAGCAUGUGAUUUAAUUCGAAGCAACGCGACGACCUACCAGUCUGACAUCCUCUGACACUCCUAAAAAUAGACGUCCCCUCGGGGACGAGUGACAGUGGUGCAUGCUGUCGUCAGCUCUGUCAUGAAUGGUAGUUAGUCCGCAACGACGCAACAUGAUCUACUUGCACAUAGUGGCACUUAAGUACUGCCGGUACGACGCAGAGUGAUGCUUCACUACAUGCCAUUACUGACUUG